rnacentral:lncRNA from 1 species
UGAGUUACGUGAGACAUUAGUGGUUUUCCCAUUAGGGAGGUGUGUAUCAUCUGAAACCAAGUUUACCUGUGGAGGUGGUGAAGGACUUGAGACAUUAGUGUUUUUCCCAUUAGGGAGGUGUGUAUCAUCUGAAACCAAGUUUACCUGUGGAGGUGGUGAAGGACUUGAGACAUUAGUGGUUUUCGCAUUUGGAAAAUGUUUCUUACCAGAUUCACUAGAAGUCUUGCCUUUUCCACCAUUUCGAUAUAUGCUGGGAUGUACAGGAUUAGCUGGAGGAAAACCAGGUCCAGGUCCAGGUAUAUGAAUUGGUGUUGGUGUUUCUGGAGGGUUGUGCGUGGGCUCUGUCUCCGGUGGCUUCUUAUUGCAGCAACCGAAACACUUCUUUAUGCACUUGUGCCAAUCGAAACACAUACUUCUGUGUUUGAGUUACUGUGAACAAAUUUUCAUGAUAUGAAUAAGUUUAGUUGUAGGGAAGGUAAAUAUUUUGCUAUGAAUUAGGUAGAUAUGUAAAGGCUUGACAAAAGAAAGUAUUGCAAAAAUUGGCUUGCAAGUUCUUUUUAAAUACCAAAUCUCAUCAUACUUCAUUGUUAUCCAC